UGGAUCAGUGAGGACCACUGAUGGCACAGGAGUCAUGAAUCAUAACUACAGGUCUAGGAGUCUGGGGUCCAC
rnacentral:snoRNA from 1 species